AUCGCUUCUUGGCCUUUUGGCUAAGAUCAGGUGUAGUAUGUCUUUUUUUUUUUUUUGUAGAGACAGAGUCUCACUCUAUGGCCCUUGGUAGAGUGCCGUGGCGUCACACAGUUCACAGCAACCUUCAACUCCUA
rnacentral:snRNA from 1 species